CUUGAACUCAUUGAUAAUUUGCAUUAACUUACCAUAAGUCUAGAACUAUGAAUGAGAGCCACCAUUCAUUUCAAACAGGAGGGCUUUAAUGUUAUCUAAUGCUUUUGUCCUCAGGUUUGGGAUACCCAGGGGGAGCAGACUACAGAGUAGGAGCUGGAAAACCUGGGAAAUCAGGAUAUGGAGGAUUGGGUGGAGCUGGAGGCACUGGACUUGGAGCUGGAGGUGCAGGUGGGGGUGUGGGUGGAGGUCCUGGAGGCAUAGGUGGAGGGCUAGGGGGAUUGGGAGGAGGGGCUGGUGGCCCAGCAGGAACUGGAGGAGGUAUGUGGAUAUGUGUAUGGAGUACUGAUAGGUGUCCACACCCAUCUGUUUUAAUUUGAUAUAAAUCUGAUUUAAUAUAUGGUCGUUCUGGUUUCAGGCCUCAGGUAUCCAGGAGGUGCGGGUAUUGGAGCUGGGAAGCCUGGUAAAUCAGGAUAUGGCACAGGUGCCUUGGGUGGUCAAGGCUACCUGCCAGGAGGUGGACAGCCUGGCUAUGGUGGGGGUGGUCCAGGUGGCUAUCAGCAGCCUUUCCCAGGUUAUGGUGGAGCUGGAGCAGGAGGAGCUGGAAGUGCUCCACUUACACCUCAACAAUGUAAGAACCUUCCAAAUGUCAAAUGUUUUACAUUACAUUACAUUACAUUGCAUUUGGCAGACGCUUUUGUCCAAAGCGACUUACAAUAGUGAAGUACAAAAGUAAUGGAAGUUAAAGGUAAAAACAUCUUAAGAUAGGGCCUAAAGGAGGUCAAAGGGAAAUAAUAGGAUAGAGGAGUGAAGGAGGGGAAGAAGGAAAUGGGGUUAGAAGUAGUUAGUGUGUUAGAGGUGUUAAGAGAGUAAGUGCUCUUUGAAGAGCUCCGUCUUCAGGAGUCUCUUAAAGAUAGCGAGAGAUUCUCCUGAUCUGGUAGUGGAAGGUAGUUUGUUCCACCAUUGGGGAACUCUGUAUGAGAACAGUCUGGAUUGCUUUGUGUGAAUGUUUGGUAAAGCGAGGCGACGUUCAUUGGAGGAGCGCAGCGGCCGGGAGGUAAUGUAAGCCUUCAGGAGUGAUCAGUGCAGGUAGGAAGGAGCCUGUUCUGUCAUCACCUUGUAGGCGAUUGUAAGAGCUUUGAAUUUGAUGCGAGCCUCAAAUGUCUUGUGAAAAACUGUGCAUUUCAGCCAUA
rnacentral:lncRNA from 1 species